rnacentral:lncRNA from 1 species
GAAACUCAAACUCCAAGCCGUCCAUGCAACUCACUUGACUUAAAUUUUGUAACACAUCACAUGUCAUUUUACUUGGGGACAAUGAUUCUCACAAGCAAAGAGAAAAAAAAAAAAAAAAAAAAAAUUAUUGCGUAAUGGUCAAGCUCAAAAUACCUUCGAUUUUAAUGUUCUUAUUAAUAGAUGCAGAGAGAAUCGUUAAUACUUUGCUUAAUUAAAAUUUACUUCUGCCUUUUUUAUUUUUGGAGUUGCUUGAGAUUAUAAAAGUAGUGACAGAGUAGAGAAUGGAUCUCGUACGUUGCUCAGCUUUUGUGCUUUGAAUUUGAUCAAUUCAAGUUCAAGCGCUUGCAGUUGCGUUUGAGUUUUGCAAUACGAAACUCCACAACUAAAAGGUUUCCUGUUAAUUGAAAUCUGCUUUAGAAUUUACGAUUCUGACUAAAUGAUUUAAUAUACAAUUUUAACGUUCAAAAGAAAAUUGUAGAACACUAAAAUAAAAAAAAAAUAAAAUAAAAAUUGUAGAACACUUUUACUCAAGUUAGUGAGUAUCCCAGCAUUUUAAUGAUUUCUUCUAAUGCAGUAAUGCUCGAACAAUUUCUCGAAAUCACCAUCUAAAUUUGAAUAUAUAUAGUUGGAAUUAAUCAUAUCUACCUAAAAUAUGUUGUUUAAAACACAUGGUUUGAAGAUCUGCAAGACUGUAACCCAGACUCAGACAUAUCAUGUACUAAUGAAAUUUACUUUAAUUCUUAUAUUAGAAAUUCUGAAAUAGCAUUAAAUACAAAGUAGCAACCUAAAACUUACUAUUCCUAGACUCGUCACUCACUCGGACAAUUAUUUGAACCAUUUAACUAAUAUGCAUUAUAUACACAGUAACACGGAUACGAAUCAUUGUAAAGAAUCUAUAGUUUAAGUAGUAGUCGAUACUAAGAAAAUGGAGAUGAAGAAGCUUUUUAAAGUUGUGUUCCUCUUGGUCGCUUACUUAACUUGUUCCCUUCCCAUGGCUAGUUACCACGGUUAUAACUGCAGAGAAGCCAAUGAGAAUGAGUGUAAUCGGAGAAGACUCAAGAGAUGAGUUUGGGAACUACAAGGAGAAGAAGAAGGUGAAUUUGUGGUCAGGUCGUAAGUUAGCUUCCGGUCCAAGUCGUAGAGGUUGUGGCCACUGAAUUUUUAGUUGGGGGUAACAAGAUUAUAAUUUAAGAUAUUUAAUUUUAUUCUCUAAUUUAGGUUUCUUGGUAUCGUUUAGUAAUAUGAGUAUUGUAGUGGGUUCUUAUAACUUAAUGAAAGGAUUGGAGUUUUCAUACGAAAUUCGCUUCAUUAUAAAAUAUAUAAGAUUUUUUUAAUUUUGUUCAUUGCAUUGUUUAAGAACAAAAUGCUCUCUGUUUUCAUUUGCUUUACCGAAAAGAAGAUUUCUUUUUUUUUUUGGUCGGCACCGAAAAGAAGAUUUCUGUUUUCACAUCAAGGGCUCUUAUGACGUAAUGACAAAAAUUUUAAAACCGUAAAAAAAAAAAAUCAAAAUCUUAAAACCUUUUAAAAACAAAUUGUAUAAACUUGUAGUAUAUUAAAUGUACAAAACGAUGCGAAACCAAGUUGGACUUGUAGAAUCGGCUAACGAUCAAUGACUAGGUCAAAUGACAGGAUCCAAAAUCCGGUUAGUUUUCACAUUAUUUUGCAAAUCCAUUAUACAAGCUUUCUUUAAAAAAAAAUCGUUAGAACUUUUUUAAAAACAAAUAAUUAAAAUUGUAAAAACUUUAAAACCGUAAAAAAGAAAAAAAAAUCAAAAUCAAAAAACUUUUUAAAAACUUGUAUAUUAGAUCUACAAAACGAUGCGAAAACAAGUUGGACUUGUGGAAUCGACUAACGAUCAAUGACUAGGUCAAAUGACAAGAUCUAAAAUCCGGUUAGUUUUCACAUUAUUUUGCAAAUCCAUUAUACAAGCUUUCUUUUUAAAAAAAUCUUUAAAACCUUAUUAGAAACAAAUAGUUAAAUUUUAAGAACUUUAAAAACCGUAAAAAAGAAAAAAAUCAAAAUUAAAAACCUUUUUAAAAAUAAAUUAAAAACUUGUAUAUUAGAUCUACAAACGAUGCGAAAACAAGUUGGACUUGUGGAAUCGGCUAACGAUCAAUGACUAGGUCAAAUGACAAGAUCCAAAAUCCGGUUAGUUUUCACAUUAUUUUGCAAAUCUAUUAUCCAAGUUUUUUUUGAAAAAAAAAUCUUUAAAACCUUUUUAAAAAUAAAUAAUAAAAAUUUUAAAAACUUUAAAACCAUAAAAAAGAAAAAAAAAAAGAAAAAUCAAAAACCUUUUUAAAAACUUGUAUAUUAGAUCUACAAAACGAUGCAAAAACAAGUUGGAUUUGUGGAAUCGGCUAACGAUCAAUGACUAGGUCAAAUGACAGGAUCCAAAAUCCGGUUAGUUUUCAAAUUAUUUUGCAAAUCUAUUAUCCAAGCUUUCUUUAAAAAGACUUUUUUAAAAACAAACAAUUAAAAUUUUAAAAACUUUAAAACCAUAAAAAAGAAAAAAAAUUGAAAUUGAAAUUUUUUUUAAAACAAAUCAAAAACUUGUAUAUUAGAUCUACAAAAUGAUGCAAAAAACAAGUUGGAUUUGUGGAAUCGGCUAACGAUCAAUGACUAGGUCAAAUGACAGGAUCCAAAAUCCGGUUAGUUUUCACGUUAUUUUGUAAAUUUAUUAUCCAAGCUUUUUUAAAAAAAAAUCGAAAAAAGGAAAAAAAAAUCAAAACCUAACGCUUAAAAAUUUUAAAGCUCUAUUAAUUUUCUAAUUAUAAAAAGAGAACAUUAAAUGGAUAGAAAUUGACCUGUGGGUAGUCCUUUGUUCAUGGGCUUCCGAGUUCUUAUGGGCUGGAAACACUUUAUUAUUGGGCUUUCUGAUACCUUUUCACUGGGAAACGAAGAAUCCUUCUCAGAGUCUUCUCUCUGCGUCGUUGAUUCCUGUAAGCGAAGGAUUCAUCGUGGUGGAAGAAGAAGAGUCACCAUCAUCUUCCAUCACCGAUCUUGUUGGCGAAAAACAAACCAAGCGUCUAAUAAGUUGGAGCCAGAGAUGAGGGAAAAUCCACGGAAUUCGAACUUCGAAGAAAUCAAAGAUGAAAUUGUAGAGAAUAGAGGUAAAGAAAGCAGAAAUAGAAUAAGAGAAUCGAAAUUUUAGAGAAAUCGCGCAUCAACACUCUAUAACUCGUGUUUCUUCCUCUCUGUUUUUUUUCUCCGUGGUUUGUGAUUUUGAAACUAAAACAAUUAGACAAAGAGAAGAUGUGAGGCGCAAGAGACUAUUUAUAAACUCAUUUUCUUAUGUGUUUUGGGGUUUCAAAGUUUCCUUUUUUAAAAAAUUCUUCUCUGUUAUUUCCUUUUUUUAUUCUUCUGUGUUAUUUCCUUUUUUUUCUUCUCUGUGUUAUUUCCUUUUUCAAUUUAGUUUGAGAAAAUCCAAAGCAAAACGUGAAUGUUUUCCUUUUUUAACCCUUUGCUUAGAAUCUGCAUUUGUAUGCUUAUUAGAAUCUCUUAAUUAUCUAUCUAUAUUACAAAAAGCAAUGAAUGUUCUUGGUUAGCUUUAAAAAAAAA